UACGAAGGGGGCUAGCGUUGCUCGGAAUGACUGGGCGUAAAGGGCGCGUAGGCGGCCAACUAAGUCGGAUGUGAAAUCCCCAGGCUCAACUUGGGAACUGCAUCCGAUACUGGAUGGCUUGAAUCCGGGAGAGGGAUGCAGAAUUCCAGGUGUAGCGGUGAAAUGCGUAGAUAUCUGGAGGAAUACCGGUGGCGAAGGCGGCAUCCUGGACCGGCAUUGACGCUGAUGAGCGAAAGCUAGGGGAGCAAACGGG
rnacentral:rRNA from 1 species